rnacentral:tRNA from 1 species
GGGGCUGUAGCUCAAUUGGGAGAGCGCUUGAAUGGCAUUCAAGAGGCAGUGGGUUCAAUUCCCACCAGCUCCACCA